UACGUAGGCAGCAAGCGUUGUUCGGAGUUACUGGGCGUAAAGGGUGCGUAGGCGGCUUUUUAAGUCUGGUGUGAAAUCUCCCGGCUCAACUGGGAGGGUGCGCCGGAUACUGAGAGGCUAGAGUGUGGGAGAGGAAAGUGGAAUUCCUGGUGUAGCGGUGAAAUGCGUAGAUAUCAGGAGGAACACCGGUGGUGUAAACGGCUUUCUGGACCAUAACUGACGCUGAGGCACGAAAGCGUGGGUAGCAAACAGG
rnacentral:rRNA from 1 species